rnacentral:rRNA from 1 species
AUUGAACGCUGGCGGCAUGCCUUACACAUGCAAGUCGAACGGCAGCACGGGUGCUUGCACCUGGUGGCGAGUGGCGAACGGGUGAGUAAUACAUCGGAACAUGUCCUGUAGUGGGGGAUAGCCCGGCGAAAGCCGGAUUAAUACCGCCUACGAUCUACGGAUGAAAGCGGGGGACCUUCGGGCCUCGCGCUAUGGGGUUGGCCGAUGGCUGAUUAGCUAGUUGGUGGGGUAAAGGCCUACCAAGGCGACGAUCAGUAGCUGGUCUGAGAGGACGACCAGCCACACUGGGACUGAGACACGGCCCAGACUCCUACGGGAGGCAGCAGUGGGGAAUUUUGGACAAUGGGCGAAAGCCUGAUCCAGCAAUGCCGCGUGUGUGAAGAAGGCCUUCGGGUUGUAAAGCACUUUUGUCCGGAAAGAAAUCCUUGGCCCUAAUACGGUCGGGGGAUGACGGUACCGGAAGAAUAAGCACCGGCUAACUACGUG